GACGAACGCUGGCGGCGUGCUUAACACAUGCAAGUCGAACGGAAAGACCCUGCUUUUGUGGGGUGCUCGAGUGGCGAACGGGUGAGUAACACGUGAGUAACCUGCCCUUGACUUUGGGAUAACUUCAGGAAACUGGGGCUAAUACCGGAUAGGAGCUCCUGCUGCAUGGUGGGGGUUGGAAAGUUUCGGCGGUUGGGGAUGGACUCGCGGCUUAUCAGCUUGUUGGUGGGGUAGUGGCUUACCAAGGCUUUGACGGGUAGCCGGCCUGAGAGGGUGAACGGCCACAUUGGGACUGAGAUACGGCCCAGACUCCUACGGGAGGCAGCAGUGGGGAAUAUUGCACAAUGGGCGGAAGCCUGAUGCAGCAACGCCGCGUGCGGGAUGACGGCCUUCGGGUUGUAAACCGCUUUCGCCUGUGACGAAGCGUGAGUGACGGUAAUGGGUAAAGAAGCACCGGCUAACUACGUG
rnacentral:rRNA from 1 species